GACGAACGCUGGCGGCGUGCCUAAUACAUGCAAGUAGAACGCUGAAGAGAGGAGCUUGCUCUUCUUGGAUGAGUUGCGAACGGGUGAGUAACGCGUAGGUAACCUGCCUUGUAGCGGGGGAUAACUAUUGGAAACGAUAGCUAAUACCGCAUAACAAUGGAUGACACAUGUCAUUUAUUUGAAGGGGCAAUUGCUCCACUACAAGAUGGACCUGCGUUGUAUUAGCUAGUAGGUGAGGUAACGGCUCACCUAGGCGACGAUACAUAGCCGACCUGAGAGGGUGAUCGGCCACACUGGGACUGAGACACGGCCCAGACUCCUACGGGAGGCAGCAGUAGGGAAUCUUCGGCAAUGGGGGCAACCCUGACCGAGCAACGCCGCGUGAGUGAAGAAGGUUUUCGGAUCGUAAAGCUCUGUUGUAAGUCAAGAACGAGUGUGAGAGUGGAAAGUUCACACUGUGACGGUAGCUUACCAGAAGGGGACGGCUAACUACGUGCCAGCAGCCGCGGUAAUACGUAGGUCCCGAGCGUUGUCCGGAUUUAUUGGGCGUAAAGCGAGCGCAGGCGGUUUGAUAAGUCUGAAGUUAAAGGCUGUGGCUCAACCAUAGUUCGCUUUGGAAACUGUCAAACUUGAGUGCAGAAGGGGAGAGUGGAAUUCCAUGUGUAGCGGUGAAAUGCGUAGAUAUAUGGAGGAACACCGGUGGCGAAAGCGGCUCUCUGGUCUGUAACUGACGCUGAGGCUCGAAAGCGUGGGGAGCGAACAGGAUUAGAUACCCUGGUAGUCCACGCCGUAAACGAUGAGUGCUAGGUGUUGGAUCCUUUCCGGGAUUCAGUGCCGCAGCUAACGCAUUAAGCACUCCGCCUGGGGAGUACGACCGCAAGGUUGAAACUCAAAGGAAUUGACGGGGGCCCGCACAAGCGGUGGAGCAUGUGGUUUAAUUCGAAGCAACGCGAAGAACCUUACCAGGUCUUGACAUCCCGAUGCUAUUUCUAGAGAUAGAAAGUUACUUCGGUACAUCGGUGACAGGUGGUGCAUGGUUGUCGUCAGCUCGUGUCGUGAGAUGUUGGGUUAAGUCCCGCAACGAGCGCAACCCCUAUUGUUAGUUGCCAUCAUUCAGUUGGGCACCCUAGCGAGACUGCCGGUAAUAAACCGGAGGAAGGUGGGGAUGACGUCAAAUCAUCAUGCCCCUUAUGACCUGGGCUACACACGUGCUACAAUGGUUGGUACAACGAGUUGCGAGUCGGUGACGGCAAGCUAAUCUCUUAAAGCCAAUCUCAGUUCGGAUUGUAGGCUGCAACUCGCCUACAUGAAGUCGGAAUCGCUAGUAAUCGCGGAUCAGCACGCCGCGGUGAAUACGUUCCCGGGCCU
rnacentral:rRNA from 1 species